rnacentral:tRNA from 1 species
ACCCAGCUGGCUCAAUUGGGAGAGCAUGUGACUCUUGACCUCAAGGUCAUGAAUUUGAGCCCCAUGUUGGGUA